AACGAACGCUGGCGGCAGGCUUAACACAUGCAAGUCGAGCGCCCAGCAAUGGGAGCGGCGGACGGGUGAGUAACACGUGGGAAUAUGCCUUUCGGUACGGAACAACUCAGGGAAACUUGAGCUAAUGCCGUAUGCGCCCUUACGGGGAAAGAUUUAUCGCCGAAAGAUUAGCCCGCGUCUGAUUAGCUAGUUGGUGAGGUAAUGGCUCACCAAGGCGACGAUCAGUAGCUGGUUUGAGAGAACGACCAGCCACACUGGGACUGAGACACGGCCCAGACUCCUACGUGAGGCAGCAGUGGGGAAUCUUGGACAAUGGAGGAAACUCUGAUCCAGCCAUGCCGCGUGAGUGAUGAAGGCCUUCGGGUUGUAAAACUCUUUCGGCGGGGACGAUAAUGACGGUACCCGCAGAAGAAGCUCCGGCUAACUUCGUGCCAGCCGCCGCUGUAACAC
rnacentral:rRNA from 1 species